GCCAGACAAAGGGACGACGUGAGGGACCCGGCCGAGCCCUCGCCGGGGAGGUUGGAGACAAAGCUGGGGCCUGAUUAGAGGCGGGCGACACGCCACAAAAGUGACCCAGCUAAGAAGUCCCUCUGCCUUCGGGACUGCUGCGCAAAAGCCCGAACUUGAGGACAGUUGUCAGGGCCUGGUCCUUUCGGUCACCCUCCAGCCCCACCUGGCCUUCCGGGAGAUUAUGAAAAUGACACCAGAGACCUACCCAGUGAAGAAUUAGGAAUGAGAAUCAUCUUUACUCAUAAAGUCUGUGGUUACCACAUCUAACCCAGUUCUCUUGCCAAAGAACUUGCUCUCCAGGACAGGUGACUCUUCUGGCAAAACAUGAGGUGCAUCUCAACUGCCUUCUUAAAGAUACUAAAAUAUCAUCCAAGGACUGCACAAAUGAGAACUUGUAUUGAUAAUGCUGAGAAGGGACACAAAUAUGUAAUGCCAAAAGGCUGAGAAGCACCCUGCGGUGUUGGAUUGGAAUCUGUGGUAUUAGCGUGAACUCAUGGUUUUUAAAUAUAUAGUUACAUUUGUGAGUA